rnacentral:rRNA from 1 species
UACGUAGGGUGCGAGCGUUAAUCGGAAUUACUGGGCGUAAAGCGUGCGCAGGCGGUCUGUUAAGACAGAUGUGAAAUCCCCGGGCUUAACCUGGGAACUGCAUUUGUGUCUGGCAGGCUAGAGUAUGGCAGAGGGGGGUAGAAUUCCACGUGUAGCAGUGAAAUGCGUAGAGAUGUGGAGGAAUACCGAUGGCGAAGGCAGCCCCCUGGGCCAAUACUGACGCUCAUGCACGAAAGCGUGGGGAGCAAACAGG